UGAGUGCUUGCACUCUUUGGACGUCGACCGGCGCACGGGUGAGUAACGCGUAUCCAACCUUCCCAUUACUGUGGGAUAACCUGCCGAAAGGCAGACUAAUACCGCAUAGUCUUCGAUGACGGCAUCAGAUUUGAAGUAAAGAUUUAUCGGUAAUGGAUGGGGAUGCGUCUGAUUAGCUUGUUGGUGGGGUAACGGCCCACCAAGGCUACGAUCAGUAGGGGUUCUGAGAGGAAGGUCCCCCACAUUGGAACUGAGACACGGUCCAAACUCCUACGGGAGGCAGCAGUGAGGAAUAUUGGUCAAUGGACGGAAGUCUGAACCAGCCAAGUAGCGUGCAGGAUGACGGCCCUAUGGGUUGUAAACUGCUUUUGUAUGGGGAUAAAGUUAGGGACGUGUCCCUAUUUGCAGGUACCAUACGAAUAAGGACCGGCUAAUUCCGUGCCAGCAGCCGCGGUAAUACGGAAGGUCCAGGCGUUAUCCGGAUUUAUUGGGUUUAAAGGGAGCGUAGGCUGGAGAUUAAGUGUGUUGUGAAAUGUAGACGCUCAACGUCUGAAUUGCAGCGCAUACUGGUUUCCUUGAGUACGCACAACGUUGGCGGAAUUCGUCGUGUAGCGGUGGAAUGCUUAGAUAUGACGAAGAACUCCGAUUGCGAAGGCAGCUGACGGGAGCGCAACUGACGCUUAAGCUCGAAGGUGCGGGUAUCAAACAGGAUUAGAUACCCUGGUAGUCCGCACAGUAAACGAUGGAUGCCCGCUGUUGGUACCUGGUAUCAG
rnacentral:rRNA from 1 species